CCAGCUUUAGCCUUGAUAGUCUGAGGCUAACCAAGCUUCCAAGAAAAUGAGGGAAAAUUACUCCCUUCCAGUAACUUACACUGGCAGAGUGCUCGGUUUUCCUCCAGCGAGCACUUAUUGGGAGGUUGCUUCUGCAUUUUACAGCUCUGCCCAGGCAAAGUGACCGUGGAGAGGAGCAGGAGCAGCCGGAGGGAAGGGCAGCAUCCCAUCCCCAAACCUCCGUGCCCAGCGGGGACAGAAACCCGUGGUGCCCAUCCCAGGCCACCAAAGGACGUCAUCGCCUUCCCAGAGGCUUUAAACGUCAUUAACUGCUCACGUUUGGUGUGGAGAAGAGAAACAAAAUACAGGAUUUCCUGUUCUGCAGCCACCGGACCGGGCUGCAGAUGCCGGCGGGAUUCCAGCGCUCUGAAACAUGUGGAAGUCAAAGCAGGGAUCGCUGAGAAAAUCAGUGGGGAAUAAAAGCAGGACGCUGGCGGCUCCUUAGCACGGCUAUGACCCCCCCGGAGCAUGGGAGGCACAGGAAGGGAUGUGAAGACAAGUCCUGCCACCCCUUCCCCUGGGUUAAACAGACUCGGUGCAAAGGGCACAAGUCCCUCGUGGAUUUUUGGGCAGGUGAGGAGCACAGGGGUCCUGCAGGGACCAAGGAGUUGUUUCCCAGUGUUCCCUCAGCACAGAUGUUCCCUCUCCCCUGCCUUUCCCAACUCAGUGGAGCAAUCCCAAACCUCUGGCACAGUCUGCAACCCCAGUUCCACUGGAAAAACAAGGAAAAGCAAGAAGGCAGAUUGGGAAAGGCUCAGCUUGGAAAGCAGGCUGUGACCAC
rnacentral:lncRNA from 12 species